rnacentral:rRNA from 1 species
GACGAACGCUGGCGGCGUGCUUAACACAUGCAAGUCGAACGGAAAGGCCCCUUUGGGGGUACUCGAGUGGCGAACGGGUGAGUAACACGUGAGUAACCUGCCCUUGACUUCGGGAUAACUUCAGGAAACUGGGGCUAAUACCGGAUAGGAAUCCUUGCUGCAUGGUGGGGGUUGGAAAGCUUCGGCGGUUUUGGAUGGACUCGCGGCUUAUCAGCUUGUUGGUGGGGUAGUGGCUUACCAAGGCUUUGACGGGUAGCCGGCCUGAGAGGGCGACCGGCCACAUUGGGACUGAGAUACGGCCCAGACUCCUACGGGAGGCAGCAGUGGGGAAUAUUGCACAAUGGGCGGAAGCCUGAUGCAGCAACGCCGCGUGCGGGAUGACGGCCUUCGGGUUGUAAACCGCUUUCAGCAGGGGCGAAGCUUGUGGUGACGGUACCUGCAGAAGAAGCAUCGGCUAACUACGUG